rnacentral:rRNA from 1 species
CCUACGGGGGGCAGCAGUAGGGAAUAUUGCACAAUGGGGGAAACCCUGAUGCAGCGACGCCGCGUGAGUGAUGAAGGCCUUCGGGUCGUAAAGCUCUGUCGUAUGGGAUCAUGUACCAUGCAAGAAAGGAUCGGCUAACUUCGUGCCAGCAGCCGCGGUAAGACGAGGGAUCCUAGCGUUGUUCGGAAUUAUUGGGCGUAAAGCGGGUGUAGGUGGGCUUAUAAGUCAGGUGUGAAAUCCCAGGGCUCAACCCUGGAAGUGCAUUUGAUACUGUAAGCCUUGAAUGUGGUAGAGGUAGAAUUCCUGGUGUAGUGGUGAAAUACGUAGAUAUCAGGAGGAAUACCAGAGGCGAAGGCGGGUAACUGGACCAAAUGACACUGAGACCCGAAAGCGUGGGGAUCAAACAGGAUUAGAUACCCCAGUAGUC